rnacentral:snRNA from 1 species
AUCGCUUCUCGGCCUUUUGGGCUUAGAUCAAUGUGUAGUAUCUGUUCUUAUCAGCUUAAUAUCUGAUACAUUCUGCAUCGCAGAAUCAGUAUAUUAAACUACUUUUUGUAAAAUGACUGGAGUUUAGAAGCUUGCUUCACUCCGGUCGCGGAUCGACCUGGUAUUGCAGUUUUGCCGGGUUCGGUCCACCGUUA